GGCCCGCACAAGCGGUGGAGUAUGUGGUUUAAUUCGAUGCAACGCGAAGAACCUUACCAGGGUUUGACAUCCUGCGAAUCUCUUGGAAACAGGAGAGUGCCUUCGGGAACGCAGUGACAGGUGGUGCAUGGCUGUCGUCAGCUCGUGUCGUGAGAUGUUGGGUUAAGUCCCGCAACGAGCGCAACCCACGUCUUUAGUUGCCAGCAUUUAGUUGGGCACUCUAGAGAGACUGCCGGUGAUAAACCGGAGAAGGUGUGGAUGACGUCAAGUCAUCAUGCCCCUUACAUCUGGGCUACACACGUGCUACAAUGGCAAGUACAACGAGUCGCAAUACCGCGAGGUGGAGCAAAUCUCUUAAAGCUUGUCUCAGUUCGGA
rnacentral:rRNA from 1 species